GUAACUGUAAAUUUAGGAAAAGGGGAGGGUUGAAGACCUUCACCUGCUGAUCAAUUCUGACAGGCUUCUAAUUGCGUUGAGAUACAAGCAAAACUACAUAAAAGUAAACUUUGACCAUUCAACUUGUAAAUGAGCAGUCAAGAGAACCAGAUCGGCAUCAAGUACAAACAUUUCAUAUACCAAAUAUAAUUAAACUACUGCUUUUUAAGUAUCGAAAUUAAGAGGACUGUGCAAACUUAUCCUAAUUAUUCACUGAUGAAAUGAGGUAGAUGUAAGAUGCCUGUAAUUAGAUGACCUAAAGUUGUUGCAUUUGGUCUUUUAAGUAGAGUUGUCUCAUUGGUAAGGCCAAAUAAAAAUAUAUAUGUGGUUCCAGUUACAUCCUUUUAAAAAAUAGGGUUGGUAGGUCACAAAUUUUAUUUUUUUUUCUAAAUUUUUAUUUUGGACAGUCAAAAUCCAGAAAAUUGAGUUUGCCGAAAUUGAAGUAUUAUACACGCCCUAACCGGAAGAUCGCCAUUUUACAUGUGUGUUGGUUGUAAAGUAAAAAGUCAUGUUACGUUUUUUGUUAGUUUCAUUGCAUUGUUAUGAACUGUUUCAUUUAAGCCAUAACAGAUACUUCUGAGUGAAAUUCAGAUGACAGAAAUCUAUGAAUUUAAUUAUCAAAUUCUUAAAAUUUGACCGUUUGAAAUGAAAAAAAAAGUUCUAGGUUCAUGGGGUUUAAACUAGGGUUGGGUGGGUGACUGGAACCACACAUAUAUUGACUUUGUUAUUUGGCCUCAUCAUACCACAUCUUCGUAUUUGUAUAUAUAUAAAUCACUUUAACUGACAAGGAUCCAAUCCUAUCAACCAGGUCUAGUACAUAUCAUACAUGUAUUACUCAUAAAAUGUGAGAACUUCACACUUGUUUCCCUAAACAUGAAAAACAAUCACCAAACCAUGAAAAAGAGGCCAAAAACAUUGGAUAGCUGCAGGAAACUGACAUAAUGCAUUCGUACACAAGUAAUGAAGCAUAAAGAUAACAUCCACUGAUAAAAUGUAUACAAAUAGUUUACACUGGAGCCACCGGAUUGUAAUCUCACAAUAUCAUCACAAUUAAUUUCAGGUAUUUUUCUUCCAAGUGAGUCAAAAAUAUAAUAACUAUUCCUGAAGAACAAUUCAGCAUAAUUGUUAUUUUUGAUUUAAUAAAUUUGUUGUCCAUGUCUGUCAAUUUCAAAUAGUUUUUAAAGGCUUGUAUCUAUACAGAAAUUAAACGUACUGUUUUUUUUUUUUUUUUUUUUUUUUUUUUUAUUAAAACAGAAAUACCCUAAAAAUUAAUAUAAUACUGUGUAUUCAGAACUUAUGUGAAGUUUUUAUUGAAUUUUGUAAAUUAUAUAACUGGAUGAAUUUAGUUGUAACAAAAAUGUGUCCAAAGUACACAGAUGCCCCAUCCGCACUAUCAUUUUCUAUGUUCAAUGGGCUGUAAAAAUGUGGAAAAAUCUCUAAUUUGGCAUUAAAAUUAGAAAGGUCAGAUCAUAGGGAACAUGUGUACUAAGUUUCAAGUACAAUGUAGAUUGGACUUCAACUUCAUCAAAAACUAACUCUACCAAAAACUUUAACCUAAAGCAGGACAGACAGACGGAAUAAUGAACGGACAAACAGACCAGAAAACAUAAUGCCCAUAAAUGGGGCAUGAUAAAAAUAGCAUUCUGAUAUCAUGAUAGCUGUUACAUAUUUAUUAUUGUAUACAUGUAUCUCGAUGCAGAUUCUCCUUAAAAUGCAACAAUAAAUCUCACAUUUUAGUCCAUUUAAAAAAUGUUAAAUAAGUGAUAAAUUCACC
rnacentral:lncRNA from 1 species